rnacentral:rRNA from 1 species
GGAGGGAGCGAGCGUUGUUCGGAAUCACUGGGCGUAAAGGGCGUGUAGGCGGCCUGGUGAGUCCAGCGUGAAAGCUCCCGGCUCAACUGGGAGAGGUCGUUGGAUACUGCCAGGCUUGAGGACCGAAGAGGGGGGUGGAAUUCCCGGUGGAGCGGUGGAAUGCGUAGAUAUCGGGAGGAACACCAGUGGCGAAGGCGGCGUCCUGGCCCGCACCUGACGCUAAGACGCGAAAGCGUGGGUAGCGAACGGGAUUAGAUACCCCGGGUAGUCCUAGCUGUAAACGAUGUGGACUUGGCGUUGGUGGGGUCAAAUCCCAUCAGUGCCCGUAGCUAACGCGAUAAGUCCACCGCCUGGGGGACUACGACCGCAAGGUUA